rnacentral:rRNA from 1 species
GGGUUGUGAGGUUAAGCGACUAAGCGUACACGGUGGAUGCCCUGGCAGUCAGAGGCGAUGAAGGACGUGCUAAUCUGCGAUAAGCGUCGGUAAGGUGAUAUGAACCGUUAUAACCGGCGAUUUCCGAAUGGGGAAACCCAGUGUGUUUCGACACACUAUCAUUAACUGAAUCCAUAGGUUAAUGAGGCGAACCGGGGGAACUGAAACAUCUAAGUACCCCGAGGAAAAGAAAUCAACCGAGAUUCCCCCAGUAGCGGCGAGCGAACGGGGAGCAGCCCAGAGCCUGAAUCAGUGUGUGUGUUAGUGGAAGCGUCUGGAAAGGCGCGCGAUACAGGGUGACAGCCCCGUACACAAAAAUGCACAUGCUGUGAGCUCGAUGAGUAGGGCGGGACACGUGGUAUCCUGUCUGAAUAUGGGGGGACCAUCCUCCAAGGCUAAAUACUCCUGACUGACCGAUAGUGAACCAGUACCGUGAGGGAAAGGCGAAAAGAACCCCGGCGAGGGGAGUGAAAAAGAACCUGAAACCGUGUACGUACAAGCAGUGGGAGCACAGAGCAAUCUGUGUGACUGCGUACCUUUUGUAUAAUGGGUCAGCGACUUAUAUUCUGUAGCAAGGUUAACCGAAUAGGGGAGCCGAAGGGAAACCGAGUCUUAACUGGGCGUUAAGUUGCAGGGUAUAGACCCGAAACCCGGUGAUCUAGCCAUGGGCAGGUUGAAGGUUGGGUAACACUAACUGGAGGACCGAACCGACUAAUGUUGAAAAAUUAGCGGAUGACUUGUGGCUGGGGGUGAAAGGCCAAUCAAACCGGGAGAUAGCUGGUUCUCCCCGAAAGCUAUUUAGGUAGCGCCUCGUGAAUUCAUCUCCGGGGGUAGAGCACUGUUUCGGCAAGGGGGUCAUCCCGACUUACCAACCCGAUGCAAACUGCGAAUACCGGAGAAUGUUAUCACGGGAGACACACGGCGGGUGCUAACGUCCGUCGUGAAGAGGGAAACAACCCAGACCGCCAGCUAAGGUCCCAAAGUCAUGGUUAAGUGGGAAACGAUGUGGGAAGGCCCAGACAGCCAGGAUGUUGGCUUAGAAGCAGCCAUCAUUUAAAGAAAGCGUAAUAGCUCACUGGUCGAGUCGGCCUGCGCGGAAGAUGUAACGGGGCUAAACCAUGCACCGAAGCUGCGGCAGCGACGCUUAUGCGUUGUUGGGUAGGGGAGCGUUCUGUAAGCCUGCGAAGGUGUGCUGUGAGGCAUGCUGGAGGUAUCAGAAGUGCGAAUGCUGACAUAAGUAACGAUAAAGCGGGUGAAAAGCCCGCUCGCCGGAAGACCAAGGGUUCCUGUCCAACGUUAAUCGGGGCAGGGUGAGUCGACCCCUAAGGCGAGGCCGAAAGGCGUAGUCGAUGGGAAACAGGUUAAUAUUCCUGUACUUGGUGUUACUGCGAAGGGGGGACGGAGAAGGCUAUGUUGGCCGGGCGACGGUUGUCCCGGUUUAAGCGUGUAGGCUGGUUUUCCAGGCAAAUCCGGAAAAUCAAGGCUGAGGCGUGAUGACGAGGCACUACGGUGCUGAAGCAACAAAUGCCCUGCUUCCAGGAAAAGCCUCUAAGCAUCAGGUAACAUCAAAUCGUACCCCAAACCGACACAGGUGGUCAGGUAGAGAAUACCAAGGCGCUUGAGAGAACUCGGGUGAAGGAACUAGGCAAAAUGGUGCCGUAACUUCGGGAGAAGGCACGCUGAUAUGUAGGUGAAGCGACUUGCUCGUGGAGCUGAAAUCAGUCGAAGAUACCAGCUGGCUGCAACUGUUUAUUAAAAACACAGCACUGUGCAAACACGAAAGUGGACGUAUACGGUGUGACGCCUGCCCGGUGCCGGAAGGUUAAUUGAUGGGGUCAGCGCAAGCGAAGCUCUUGAUCGAAGCCCCGGUAAACGGCGGCCGUAACUAUAACGGUCCUAAGGUAGCGAAAUUCCUUGUCGGGUAAGUUCCGACCUGCACGAAUGGCGUAAUGAUGGCCAGGCUGUCUCCACCCGAGACUCAGUGAAAUUGAACUCGCUGUGAAGAUGCAGUGUACCCGCGGCAAGACGGAAAGACCCCGUGAACCUUUACUAUAGCUUGACACUGAACAUUGAGCCUUGAUGUGUAGGAUAGGUGGGAGGCUUUGAAGUGUGGACGCCAGUCUGCAUGGAGCCGACCUUGAAAUACCACCCUUUAAUGUUUGAUGUUCUAACGUUGACCCGUAAUCCGGGUUGCGGACAGUGUCUGGUGGGUAGUUUGACUGGGGCGGUCUCCUCCUAAAGAGUAACGGAGGAGCACGAAGGUUGGCUAAUCCUGGUCGGACAUCAGGAGGUUAGUGCAAUGGCAUAAGCCAGCUUGACUGCGAGCGUGACGGCGCGAGCAGGUGCGAAAGCAGGUCAUAGUGAUCCGGUGGUUCUGAAUGGAAGGGCCAUCGCUCAACGGAUAAAAGGUACUCCGGGGAUAACAGGCUGAUACCGCCCAAGAGUUCAUAUCGACGGCGGUGUUUGGCACCUCGAUGUCGGCUCAUCACAUCCUGGGGCUGAAGUAGGUCCCAAGGGUAUGGCUGUUCGCCAUUUAAAGUGGUACGCGAGCUGGGUUUAGAACGUCGUGAGACAGUUCGGUCCCUAUCUGCCGUGGGCGCUGGAGAACUGAGGGGGGCUGCUCCUAGUACGAGAGGACCGGAGUGGACGCAUCACUGGUGUUCGGGUUGUCAUGCCAAUGGCACUGCCCGGUAGCUAAAUGCGGAAGAGAUAAGUGCUGAAAGCAUCUAAGCACGAAACUUGCCCCGAGAUGAGUUCUCCCUGACUCCUUGAGAGUCCUGAAGGAACGUUGAAGACGACGACGUUGAUAGGCCGGGUGUGUAAGCGCAGCGAUGCGUUGAGCUAACCGGUACUAAUGAACCGUGAGGCUUAACCUUACAACGCCGAAGGUGUUU